rnacentral:rRNA from 1 species
GACGAACGCUGGCGGCGUGCUUAACACAUGCAAGUCGAACGGAAAGACCCUGCUUUUGUGGGGUGCUCGAGUGGCGAACGGGUGAGUAACACGUGAGUAACCUGCCCUUGACUUUGGGAUAACUUCAGGAAACUGGGGCUAAUACCGGAUAGGAGCUCCUGCUGCAUGGUGGGGGUUGGAAAGUUUCGGCGGUUGGGGAUGGACUCGCGGCUUAUCAGCUUGUUGGUGGGGUAGUGGCUUACCAAGGCUUUGACGGGUAGCCGGCCUGAGAGGGUGACCGGCCACAUUGGGACUGAGAUACGGCCCAGACUCCUACGGGAGGCAGCAGUGGGGAAUAUUGCACAAUGCGCGGAAGCCUGAUGCAGCAACGCCGCGUGCGGGAUGACGGCCUUCGGGUUGUAAACCGCUUUCGCCUGUGACGAAGCGUGAGUGACGGUAAUGGGUAAAGAAGCACCGGCUAACUACGUG